GUUGUAUGGUUAAGUGACUAAGCGUACACGGUGGAUGCCUUGGCAGUCAGAGGCGAUGAAAGACGUAGUAACUUGCGAUAAGCCCAGAUUAGGUAGUAACAACCAUUUGAGUCUGGGAUUUCUGAAUGGGGAAACCCACUAGCAUAAGCUAGUAUCGUUAUGUGAAUACAUAGCAUAACGAGGCGAACCGGGGGAACUGAAACAUCUAAGUACCCCGAGGAAAAGAAAUCAACCGAGAUUCCGAAAGUAGCGGCGAGCGAAAUUGGACUAGCCCUUAAGCUUUACACGCGUUAGACGAACGGUCUGGAAAGUCCGACGAUACAGGGUGAUAGUCCCGUAGUUGACGACGUGUGUUCAGUGAAAUCGAGUAGGGCGGGACACGUGAUAUCCUGUCUGAAUAUGGGGGG
rnacentral:rRNA from 1 species